rnacentral:lncRNA from 1 species
ACAUCUCUUGGAGCUCUAGCUCACCUCUCUAGUGUUGUUCUUGUAUUCAUUUGAUUAAUCUAGUUCUUGCCAGUUCUUCUUGAACUUCUUGGUAGAUAUUAAGUCUGUAUUCUGUGUCCGUGACAGUUUGUCGAGACUUCACUCACCUCAGAUAUCAGAGCUAGUUUCUUCUUUGUUAGAGUGUGGAUUAUCCCUUUGCUUGGAAGUGUACUAGCACUUCAGAGGUUGCGGAUUAUCCUCCUCUAAACUGA